AUACGUAGGUGACAAGCGUUAUCCGGAUUUACUGGGCGUAAAGGGCGUGUAGGCGGUCUUGCAAGUCAGAAGUGAAAUUCCUGAGCUCAACUCGGGCGCUGCUUCUGAAACUGCAGGACUUGAGUGCUGGAGGGGAUAGCGGAAUUCCUAGUGGAGCGGUAAAAUGCGCAGAUAUUAGGAAGAACACCGGUGGCGAAGGCGGCUAGCUGGACAUAAACUGACGCUGAGGCGCGAAAGCGUGGGGAGCAAACAUGAUUAGAUACCCUGGUAGUCCACGUCGUAAACGAUGAAUACUAGAUGUAGGGGGUAUCGACUCCCUCUGUGCCGCAGUUAACACAAUAAGUAUUCCGCCUGGGGAGUACGGCCGCAAGGUUGAAACUUAAAGGAAUGGACGGGG
rnacentral:rRNA from 1 species